UCUCUCCCUCCUUCCUGCCGUCCCCCGCCUGAGGGAGGGGAGCGGUGCAGCAGACAUCCGAGGGCAGCUGGGACCCCCUGACUCAGCCGACGGGUGAGUCAGGCUCCCUGCAGGCCACACCGGACCCCCCCAGGGCGGGGAUUUCCCCAAGAUGAGAAAUCAGCCACCGGAAGUCACGCCGGACCUUGGACGGGCAGACAGAGGCUGGGAGGAGUUCUGGGUGCAGAGCCCCCCAACCUGUGCUCUCAUCUCUUGCUCUGGGGUAAGCCAGUGGCCAUGCUAUAAGGACACUCAAGCCACCCUAUGAAGAAGCCCACAUGAAGAGGAACUGAGAUAUCUGGCCAACAGCCAGCCAGUCACUGAGCCUGCCAACCACGCUGUGGCAGGUACCUCCAGCCCCAGACACCUGCAGCCUCCACUGAAAGCUCAAUGGCAGCCUCAUGAGACCCUGGACCGGAACCACCCAACGAAGCGGCUCCUGUAUUCCUGAUUGACAGAAACUACGGGAUCAUAAAUGCUUGCUGUUCAGUC
rnacentral:lncRNA from 1 species